rnacentral:rRNA from 1 species
UACGAGGGGGGCGAGCGUUGUCCGGAAUCAUUGGGCGUAAAGAGCGUGUAGGCGGCUCGAUAAGUCCGCUGUGAAAGUCCAGGGCUCAACCCUGGAAGGCCGGUGGAAACUGUCGGGCUAGAGUCCGGAAGAGGCGAGUGGAAUUCCCGGUGUAGCGGUGAAAUGCGCAGAUAUCGGGAGGAACACCAAUGGCGAAGGCAGCUCGCUGGGACGGUACUGACGCUGAGACGCGAAAGCGUGGGGAGCAAACAGGG